rnacentral:tRNA from 1 species
ACCUAGCUGGCUCAGUUGGAAGAGCGUACGACUCUUGAUCUCAGGGUCAUGAGUUGGAGUCCCAUGUUAUGUG